UGAACGCUGGCGGCGUGCCUAAUACAUGCAAGUCGAGCGAACGGACGAGAAGCUUGCUUCUCUGAUGUUAGCGGCGGACGGGUGAGUAACACGUGGAUAACCUACCUAUAAGACUGGGAUAACUUCGGGAAACCGGAGCUAAUACCGGAUAAUAUUUUGAACCGCAUGGUUCAAAAGUGAAAGACGGUCUUGCUGUCACUUAUAGAUGGAUCCGCGCUGCAUUAGCUAGUUGGUAAGGUAACGGCUUACCAAGGCAACGAUGCAUAGCCGACCUGAGAGGGUGAUCGGCCACACUGGAACUGAGACACGGUCCAGACUCCUACGGGGGGCAGCAGUAGGGAAUCUUCCGCAAUGGGCGAAAGCCUGACGGAGCAACGCCGCGUGAGUGAUGAAGGUCUUCGGAUCGUAAAACUCUGUUAUUAGGGAAGAACAUAUGUGUAAGUAACUGUGCACAUCUUGACGGUACCUAAUCAGAAAGCCACGGCUAACUACGUG
rnacentral:rRNA from 1 species